CAGCCGCCGCGGGAAUACGAAGGGUGCAAGCGUUACUCGGAAUUACUGGGCGUAAAGCGUGCGUAGGUGGUGGUUUAAGUCCGUUGUGAAAGCCCUGGGCUCAACCUGGGAAUUGCAGUGGAUACUGGGUCACUAGAGUGUGGUAGAGGAUAGUGGAAUUUCCGGUGUAGCAGUGAAAUGCGUAGAGAUCGGAAGGAACAUCUGUGGCGAAGGCGACUAUCUGGGCCAACACUGACACUGAGGCACGAAAGCGUGGGGAGCAAACAGGAUUAGAGACCCGGGUAGUCCCUGUCUCUUAUAA
rnacentral:rRNA from 1 species